AGGGUUUGUAGGAUUGAGGCCCUUCUAUCUAG
rnacentral:tRNA from 1 species